UGUGCACAAAUCGGUAUCAUUGUGAGUCGUGUAAUACCUUGAGUGGGACGGCUUUGAGAGCAGCCCUCUCUGAAUUUGCCAUUUCGAGAUAUCGAAAACGUCACGAAAGCAAACAUGAGACUUAACCUGCUUUUGAUGGUGUCUUGCGUUCUUUUGGUGUUUUCAAUGGUCCUUGCUGAUGAAGCAAAAUUUGAAGACAAAGCCGAGAGCAAAGAUAUUAAUGGUAACUUUUUAAAUUGCUAUUUCAU